AUGAACGGGGCUAAGCGAUCUGCCGAAGCUGUGGGAUGUAAAAAUGAAUCGGUAGGGGAGCGUUCCGCCUUAGAAAGAAGUACCCGCGCGAGCAGGGUUGGACGAAGCGGAAGCGAGAAUGUCGGCUUGAGUAACGAAAACAUUGGUGAGAAUCCAAUGCCCCGAAAACCUAAGGAUUCCUCCGCCAGGGUAAGAAGGGGUAGAGAAAAUGCCUCGAGCCCAAAUUUGAGUACGAGGCGCUCCGGCGCUUAA